rnacentral:rRNA from 1 species
CUUUUAUGGAGAGUUUGAUCCUGGCUCAGGACGAACGCUGGCGGCGUGCCUAAUACAUGCAAGUCGAGCGAAUCUUUGGGAGCUUGCUCCUAAAGAUUAGCGGCGGACGGGUGAGUAACACGUGGGCAACCUACCUUACAGAUGGGGAUAACUCCGGGAAACCGGGGCUAA